AUCCAUGAUGGCCGAGACAUCAGGCGUCGAGCUUUUAACUCGACUACAGUUAUUCCCAACUUCUGGAUA
rnacentral:tRNA from 1 species